GUUUCGGCCGCGCCGUCGAGGCCGAGGAAUCACCGGGAGCAGAGGGAGCAGCGGGGCCGUGGCCAGGGAAUGUGGCACAGCCCCUGCUUCGGACAGAAAGACAGCCGUCCAAAGGAAAUGAGCAUCAAUUCUCAGAGCUUGGCCACCGUCCGUGCGAUGGAGCAAUGUAGCUAGGGCUGUGGGUUGACUUGCGCUUGCAUCACUGCAACCCCGAACCAGAUUGCAUCUGCAGUCAUCUGACUUCAUGCCCGAACUGAUAAAUGGUGCUGUGGAAGCGUGGAUCUCGAGGGCCUUGGCAAGAUGCUUUUGCAGUAUCCUGUCCCCUCGUUGUGUCAUCCUCUGGAAGACAGGAGAAUGAGAAUCAGCGGCGUGCCAGUAACCUGCAAGCAGUUGGAGAACUCCUGUGUGAAAAAGAGCAACCAUGCAGCGUGAGCGCAGCGAACUCGUGCCUCCCAACAACCUGCAGUUGCGACUGUGUUCCCCCCACGGGAACUGAUGCCAGAUUCUCCCUCUGGUUAUCUGUGUUCUUCUCUCUUACUGUAACAAAUUUGUUGCUCUCCAGCUCCCACAUGUUAACGGAAAAAUGCAGAUAUUCCCCGUGCAGAUUAAGCGAGGUUAACAAAUUGGCACUUGUAAUCGAGUCCUGUCCCUGGCUGCUGCCACAUGGGGCAUGCACUUGGUGAGGCCUCUGGGAAUUUUCCGUGUGUAGGGCGCAGGAUUUCGCCCUGGCAAAGGGCGCUGGCCUAAAAGGGGUAGCAAGAGGUGAGCUUUUUGGGGAAAAAUGUGUAAUUAUUUUGUAUAGGUAUUUUUGGGGUGAAAACCCACCGUGUGCGCAUGUUUAUGUAACAGAUGUAAAAAGCAUUUUUUUUUCAUUAAACCACCAAAAGCGGUAAGCC
rnacentral:lncRNA from 1 species